AGAGCUUCAAUCCCAAGAAGGGCUUUGCCUGCCAUCACCGGCUUCAAACGGGGGCCAAGAACAUGGGCGGCCUCCAGAAACAGAACGACCCCAGCCGACAGCUCUCGGGGAGGCAGGGACCUUAGUCCCACCGGCCAACAAUUCUGCCACCAACCUGAAUUGGCUGGGGAGCAGACUCAUUCCCAGAACCUCCAGAAGGAAGACAGUGUGGCUGACGCCUUGAAUUUGGCCGUGUGAGACCAGGAGCAGAGGAGCCCGCCAAAUCCGCGUGGACGUCUGACCUUCAGAACUAUGAAGUGACUGAAACACGUAAGCAACUUGCCCAAGGCCACACAACCAAGUGACGGAGCUGGGGUUUGAACUGCUGGCCGACUGAAUCCAGAGUUCUCCUCAAAAGUAGGCACUGGCCCUGCGGGAGCAGGUGGAUGAUAGCGAACCCCAGGCCCGCCUACUUUCCUGACCGGCCAGGUCUGCGCUCCCCUGAGGCGCCAGCAGGGGCCAGGCAUCCAACCAAACCACAGCUUCUGGAUUCUCGGAUUCUCACUGUCUACACUCCUUUGCCUGUCACUUAAGACCUCCUAUGAUACAUCCCUAUUCUGCUUGUAGUGUCCACCACCACUGCAGUCCUCAUCAGUCUACAGUCAGACCCCUUGCGUUCCUGCCCCCAGAAGGCCCCGCUUGAGACACUCCGGCCGAGAAGCUCUCUGACUGGACCCCUUCUCUCUUGCUGCUGUGUCUUCCGGCUGCCGGGACGUCUAGGCAGCUCACAGCCCACCAGUCUGAAGUGCGCACUCAGCGGCAUCCCACGAACUGAUCUAAAGGGUUUCUGAUCACAGCUGGAGUGCUUCUCAAUGGAUACUUGCAUUCAGUUCUCUCUCUCCCUCUUUUAUUUUUUAAGUAGACUCCACGCCCAACAUGGGGCUUGAACUCACGACCCCGAG